GUGGUGGUGGACACGGAUGAAGGCGAAGACGUAAACCGCACGCGUGGUUGCCAGCGUCGGCGACACGGCACUGGUCGUUUUGCUCCGAUCGGCCGGAUCUGCUCCGGUGUGAGUCAUUUAGCUGUUGGCUGUGGCUAGGUGCGCAAGUGCUCGCUCGGUUCGAUCCGACCGCAGGUAGACGGUGUCAGUCAGUUAAGUGCUGUGAACGAACCAAGGGACAAAGGAGCAGAGACCUCCUGCCUCGUACGCGGGAUCCGGCUCAAGCGUUCAGUAGUGUGCUGUCGUCGCGCGCUGCCCACACGGCUGCUUCUGUGCGUUCCACCAACGAGAGCGACGAGCGCUUGUUGGGAACACUUUAGUGCAUUAUCCUUGUAGAGACGAUCGCUCUCCCUCUGAGCUCGGUUGGUUAGGUUAGAAAAAGCGGAAGUGUAUCGAAAAUCGCCCGGCAUUUCAAAAGUGAUGAAAUAGUACGUAAGCAAGCUUUAGGGUCGUUAGGUGAUAGAAGCCCAGGAAAGGAAGCAAAGGUAUGAAACGCUUAUUAAGUGUUCGGCAAAAGAUAAUUAUAAUUCUUAUUAAUGAUCAAGUUUUGUAACAAAUAGGGAGUUUUUCGGGAAGCUUUUUCUCAACCACGAGGCUAGAAUAACUUGCCAAAUGUGUGUAAAUUAGAGCGUUCGCAUCAUCACCACUAACACACACACCAUCUUGCUUCCUAUAGUUGUGCGGUGUGUUAGAAUGAUCCCCGCGAUCUAUUCUUCAUUUGCGCGGCCAUUUUCAAACGCGCGUGAUGGUGGUGCGUCUGUUUGUCCUACGUAUUAGCGCGCCAUUUCCCGAUUCCGAUCGUCGAACCAGUGCAGCUGUUGUUUUUGGCUCUUUUUCUUUCUCGGACCGUUUGCUAGGGAAUAGGCUGGGGAAGCUACGAGAAGCUGGUGAGUGUGUGUGUGUAUGGGUCGCCUGGUCGGAUAGCUAAAACAAUAAUAAGCGUACAGCGACGAGAGCAGCACCCCCCAAAAAAGAGCACUUGCCUUGUACGUCAUUAGAUGUGGUCAAGAGGGGCCUAGGUCAGCUUAAGUUGCUGCAAGCGUUAGGCGUAUCGGAACUUGAAGAGGGCGAAAGAGAGAGAGAGAGAAAUCGAGAGCUUCUAAAAACGGCUACCAUCUCUGAGCGUUAGGUACUUCCCCCCCCCCCCCGCCCUGCGUUUCGUUUGGAUAAACUAUUUGUUCUAUCUCACCGUGUAAAAAAUGGCCGGAUGAGAUAGGCCAGCAGAGGCCGACCGAAACGCGGUUUCAAGCGACUCGAAAAUGUGUUGAUUUCCACUUCCUUCAUCCGUAACCCAUCGGCACAAACGCACACACAGCACGGGGGAAGAAACACGGUCAAGCGUGCGGUUGUGGCCUUAGGAAGCAGGGCAGGAAGGGAGGGAGGGAGGGAGAGCGAGUGAGGCAGAAAGGCAGGAAGCUGGUAACCAAAAUGUGAGUUUUACGCUCGAACACAUCACCACGAUCGGCCGCUUCGAUGGUUGGCCAAGUCUGCCAAGCAGCGUGAGGCGCUCGCCAACCGGAGGAGGAACACACAAAACUUCGGCAGUACGUACACCACCACCCUCCAUUAGCACCCAAAAAGGUGUGUUCCGGUUUGAGGAGCUAACGAUCACUGCAGGUAGCUUCGAUCGAGUGUGGUCUAAUGAGAAGCUUUGCCAUACGCAUGUGUGUGUGUUGUGAAUACAAAAAAAAGCGCCUCAUUACAUCUUCGUGAUUUACUCACACAAGCAUUCCCGGCGGUAUUCGUUCUUCGCGUUCCUCUAACCCGGAUGUUUUGUACCGGACGCAUGGUGUGUGUGUGUUGUAAGAUUGCAAAGUGAUCGUUCCAUAAAAGGAAGAACAAGUUUUCAAUUCACUCGCUCCCCUAUAUUUCUGUUGAUCUUUAAUUUACAUACUAAGCUGCGAAUGUGCAAAGUAGCAUUACAGAGCGCUUGUCGGUGGUGAUACGAAGCGAAAUGAGGAUUAUUAUUUUAAAACAAUUUUCUAAAUCAAAAUCUCUCUAUCGUUUUAGGUGAAAUCGUUGUAAGGAUCAACACCAUCUAUAAUUAAUUUGGAAAGCAACCCCUGAGGGGGAGGAAAAAGCCAAUUUUUCGCGUCUGGUUCUGGUUCGCCAACACCACCACCAUCACCCCUACUCUACCGUGUCUGAUUUUACGCGUCAAUUUAUAUUUGCUUUUAUCGCGACACAACAAAAAAAAAACCUUCAGCAGAAGUAACAUUCAGCGUAGCGUCGUGUGGUACAAGCGAUUGCGCGGCCCCGGCUAUGGAUGAUAAGUGUGUUCGAAAGACGCAUCGAGAGCACGUGGAGGGCUUGGUUUUUAUCAGUUUGACAAGGGUUUUUUUUUUCUUCCUUCCUCCCAACCUUCCAGUGUACUUUUUCUACACACGCACACCGCAUCCAUCGGGAGAGAGCGAACUCGCGAGCGCGCGCGCGAUCGUAUCAGCAGAAUGUGGGGGUGAAACGGCGGCUGGAAUGGGGCUGGAGAAUAUUGAUUAGAGACAACACGGCGGUGGUAAUGUUGUUGAGCGCGAUAAGACGAACCAACGACGACGACGACGACGAUGUGUUCAAUAUCUAUCGGUUCUCUGCCUCCGUGGUUGGUUGUGAGUGUACUUCAACGUACGUACAACACACACACACGCACAGGUCCGAGUUAGAUGGGAGACGGUUUUGGCAACGUGUCCACCGCACGUUCCGAUCCAGACGCGCUCGAGCGACGGAUGCGAAAACCGGUAACACUCUAUUAACACUUAUUGACUAAUUCCUGCAUAGUGCGCUGGUGAGACACAGUGGGAUCGUAUCAGAUCGUACCAUCCAAGAGUUGUAGCGUGUGCAUGAUAGUUCACCUUUCUCAAGUGAUUCUCGAGCGAACGAAAAUCGUUGUUGUUCUAAUCGUCUUGAUCGCCGAUUCCGUUCAGCUGCAGCUUGUCGAUAAAUUGAAAUGUAAAUAUUGAUACAAAUUGGCACCAACCGAGAGAGGGAGAGAGAGGGAUCGACCUUCUGAUCCGUCCAUCCGUUCACCCCGGUAAGUUCUCAUCGUGUGAUCAUCAUCCCUCGAACGGAUGGACACAAAUCUCAACAGCGAGCUAGCCGGAGGACUACACCAAUCGGUCGCUGAAUUACCGAUCACUGUAACCGCUUUUUUCGUCAAUGUUCUCUUUGGUUAUCUAGCUGUAUGAGUGUACUUUAAACGUCAUAAAGCUAGCAUACCGAAGUUAAUAAUUGACUGAUACUCAUCGAUGGGUGGCGAGAGCGCAAACAUGAUGGAUGCUACUUAGACCCGUACAGUGUGUGUAUGUGUGUGUGUGAAGUGUGUGCGUUUAUUCGUGGCGUUUUAUACUAAGAGGAAGGUUUAGCUUAAAGUAACGUUUAAGACAGAUGAAGUUGCACUGUUCUAGUGGAGUUCUUUCAUACGUAAAUUGAUUCGAUUCCUCUACGCGGUAGGAGAGUUAUAAGCAAAAUGGAUCAAAAUAGGUGAUAUUCAGGCCGCUCCGCACAGGAACGGGGGUAUUGGGUGUAUGACCUAAGAAUAACUAUAUCGUCAAGGUUAUCGUUUUUCUCUAAGGAAAACUGAAAACCACAUAAAUAUUCAUCCGAAUAAGCCUAAUGACGGUUGACGGAUCGUUUCAGUAGCUCCAUGAUUAAAUUGUUUCUUACUGAUCCCACCAAUUAAUGUACAGAGUACUACCAGCCUGGCAUGAAUAUAACUGGAAAAAUAUUAUAAAUAUUUGGAUAUGGAUACAAUGGUGCAAGGAAUAUACUCGAGAGAUUUCACGCAAAUACUGUUAUGCUAUUGAGGGAUGUCCGGCUACACUUUGUCCGAAAAAGGUAACAACAUUCAUCUAUUACCUUACCUCUUUUAGGAUAAGGACUGGUUCAUGUCCUGACGUGAUCUUCCGUCACUGUAGAUAUAUUGGUGAGAAUGCGUGACCACAAUUCCACCUCCAAUAUAGGAUCUGCAUUGUUUUCAGGUGCAGGGAAACAUACCACGAUGUUAGUAAAGCUAUUGCACAGAUUAUUGAAAUAAAAUAUUACAAGGGGCUGGUUAUUGAUGUAUGUUCGAAGAAGUUCGCAGAUAGUUAGCCGGAAUUGUUGAAUAAAUAAUAUAAACUAGCUGA